rnacentral:rRNA from 1 species
GAUGAACGCUAGCGGGAGGCCUAACACAUGCAAGCCGAGCGGUAUUGUUUCUGCGGAAAUGAGAGAGCGGCGUACGGGUGCGUAACACGUGUGCAACCUGCCUUUAUCUGGGGGAUAGCCUUUCGAAAGGAAGAUUAAUACUCCAUAAUAUAUUGAACGGCAUCGUUUAAUAUUGAAAGCUCCGGCGGAUAGAGAUGGGCACGCGCAAGAUUAGCUAGUUGGUGAGGUAACGGCUCACCAAGGCGAUGAUCUUUAGGGGGCCUGAGAGGGUGCUCCCCCACACUGGUACUGAGACACGGACCAGACUCCUACGGGAGGCAGCAGUAAGGAAUAUUGGUCAAUGGGUGCAAGCCUGAACCAGCCAUCCCGCGUGAAGGACGGCUGCCCUAUGGGUUGUAGACUUCUUUUGUAUAGGGAUAAACCUACCCUCGAGAGGGUAGCUGAAGGUACUAUACGAAUAAGCACCGGCUAACUCCGUGCCAGCAGCCGCGGUAACAC